rnacentral:lncRNA from 1 species
AUCGUUCCGUUUUGACUCACCGAGUUGCCUCUUCAAGCUCUCUUCUCACUUCUCAUGGCUUAAGGUAAACAAAACUUACCACACUUUUCUUUCCCCAUUUAAAUCCCUUCAUUAACACCAUCAUUUCCUUGAUUAUCUCACACCCUCUGAUUCGUUUACCCCACUGUUCAUUAAUCCUAGCUCAUGUAAUCAAAAUUCCAUAUUUUUUCCUCUCUCUUUCUUGGAUCAUACUCUGCUGAUGUUGUAAUCUUGGGGUUUUCAAGCUUAUCAUU